UCCAAUUAAUAACAAUAAACCAGAUUAAAACCAAAGUGAAAAUUAAAAGGGGCUUAGGGUUUACGUUUGGUGGCUUUCACGUUGAAACCUCACUCGGCUCCCUCUUACUCACGACGGCGCGGCGGCUUCAUCAUCUUCACCGGCGAAGAUUCGUCAAUCGCCACCGCUAAAACAAACACACUCGAAACUCGUCUCUCAUCCGUCUCAAUCUCUCGUUCUCUCCGUCUCUUCGCUCGCCGCCGUAAAUAACAACGACGGAAUCAACAACGUUUCUCGUCUCUCAUCAACUCUCUGAUUCAAUCUUAUCGUCUCACAACUCCGACCGAAGGAGGCUCCGGUGACUCCUCAAGAUGUUAAUAACAGAAAUCCCAAGAUCUUCAGGUGAAGAUGUGUCGCGAUGUUGCUCGCGAUUGUAGAUUCAGUGUUGUUUGUUGAUGCAGUGUUGUGCGACGAUGAAGAUUGAUGAUUGUCAAGGUUGAAGAGUUUUGAUUAUGGAGUGUGAAGUUUGCGAUGAUGAUGAUUGAAGUUUGCGAUGCCGUGGUGAAGAGUUGAGAUUGAAUCGAUGAUGAUUAUUGUUGUGUGAGAAGGUUCUGAAGAGGAUUGAUGGUUAAAAAUCGAUGAUGGAGUUGGAGAUUGAGAAUCGGUGAUGAUGACAUUGAUGAAGAGUGAUGCUUCGAUUUGAUGGAGAUGAUGAAAUUGAAGCGUGGAGGCGAAGCAAAUUGAAGAAUGAAGGUUCAAGAAUCGUGCAAUCAGUAGAGAACUUGAAGAAUGGAUUCGUGUGAAAUGAAGGUUGGUUCUGGAAGAAGAUUCGAGAGAGAAUUCGGUUAGAGGCAGUGGUUGAAUAUUCUGAAUCCUCUGAAUCGAGAGAGAGGCUCGAGAAGUUUGUUACGUCUCUUUUUUUCUUUUUUUCCGAUUAUCAGUCCCCCCCAAUUUCUGAUUUGUGCUGCUGCUUUUGUAUUGUGUUGCAGGAUGCGAAUACGGUUCGGUUUAUUUUCUUUAACGUUGGCUUUGCUGAACCGGUUUCAGUUGAAUUAUGCAGGUUAUUAGUUGCAGGUCCUCAUCAAAAGUGGCUUCAACAAGAGUUGUCUUGUAAAUUGAAAAUAUCAUGUUGCAACUCUAUCGACUGCUUUUCUUUUUAGAUGCCCAUCCAUUUGCGCUAUUAGAACUAAGUUGGUAUAAUCUGAGAAUUUCAUGGAGUUUCUUCUUGAGUGUAUUAUUGACUGGAAGGAGUUUGGAUGAUAAUAGAUGACCAUUUGUAAUGAACUUGGUGUUGACUUAUUCUUUGAAUGUAAUGGAAAUACAUAACAUAUGAUAUUGUAUUGGACGUUUGGGUAUUUUUAUUUGAAUUUUGAAGAAUGACAUGAAUUUUGAAUGAAAGAUUUCAUAUGGCGUAAUGAACUCAAAACUCGUUCUUGAACUCGAAAUAAUUGCCUUUGUAAUUUGCGCUUUGCUCGUCAAGAAAUCCACAUAAAUGAAUCUCAAAUCCAACUCUAAUUCAAUGGAACUCCAAUUCAUCAUGUCAUGUUAACUUGCAUGACAAGUAACAAGCAAUUGAAAGAAUAGUGUCUUGAUUAUCAAUUCAAUAGCAAUAUCUUGAAGAAUCUUUGAAUAUGAAUUUAACUUGAAACAUAAAAGAAACCUCAACAUACAAUCCAAUUAACCUCGGUUGGAUCUCAACAAACUCAAACACUCAGAUGGGAAACUCUU